AACGAACGCUGGCGGCAUGCCUAACACAUGCAAGUCGAACGAGACCUUCGGGUCUAGUGGCGCACGGGUGCGUAACGCGUGGGAACCUGCCCUUAGGUUCGGAAUAACUCCCCGAAAGGGGUGCUAAUACCGGAUAAUGUCUUCGGACCAAAGAUUUAUCGCCUUUGGAUGGGCCCGCGUUGGAUUAGCUAGUUGGUAGGGUAAAAGCCUACCAAGGCGACGAUCCAUAGCUGGUCUGAGAGGAUGAUCAGCCACACUGGGACUGAGACACGGCCCAGACGGCGGGGGGGGGAGGGAGGGGGGAAGAGGGGAGGAGGGGAGAAACGCGGCACAAGAAAGGCGGAUGGAGGGAGGAAGGGUUGAGGGGUGGAAAGAUCUGUAACACGGGAGGAUAAAGAAAGUACCGGGAGAAUAGACGCCGGAAAGCCGGGGGAAGGAGGGGGCGAAAAGGAGCGAGGAAACACGCAUGAAA
rnacentral:rRNA from 1 species